rnacentral:lncRNA from 1 species
UCUGAAAUUUACUCUUCUAGCCUCUAGCACUCAUCACUCAACCAUGGAUGCAUGUAUUGACUAGGUGACCCCUCCUAAUAGUACGGAUUGUCCUACGACUCAAAGCGAAAAAGAAAAACGCCUCCUUUUGCUUCGAUUCUGUUCGCAUUUUUGCCUCAAGGGUCACUUCUAGUUUAACUUGAUUAUUUCACAUUAUGAGCAUGAGUUAAACUUCACUUGAGUUCUCUGCAUUCACAAAGGUUAGUGCACACAUGCUUUGACGAGAAUUGUCAUUAAUCAUUUAAAAUCUACUUUAGGGGCUAGAUGCACUUUCAACUUCGGGAGCGGGAUACCGUGGGCUGGCCCAGCGGGAGGGAGAGAGAAUAGAGAGGAGGAGAGCGAGUGGGCUGAAGUGGACUGGCCCAUGCGGGAGAGGGGGAGGAGACCGAAGGGAGAAGAGGGGAGGAUGGAGUGGGCCAGGAGGAGUUGGGUUGGCAGAAAAGAGAGGGAGGAGUGGGCUGCUGGCACACUCAGCUGGGAGGGGGAAAAAG